UACAGAGGGGGCAAGCGUUGUUCGGAAUUACUGGGCGUAAAGGGCGCGUAGGCGGCCUUCUAAGUCGAACGUGAAAUCCCCGGGCUCAACCCGGGAACUGCGUCCGAGACUGAAAGGCUUGAAUCCGGGAGAGGGAUGUGGAAUUCCAGGUGUAGCGGUGAAAUGCGUAGAUAUCUGGAGGAAUACCGGUGGCGAAGGCGGCAUCCUGGACCGGCAUUGACGCUGAGGAGCGAAAGCUAGGGGAGCAAACGGG
rnacentral:rRNA from 1 species